CCUGCGUCCUCAUGGAUACUAGACUGAUUUGCUUCUGCUGAGCCACGAUGAGAACUCCCUUUUUUUUUUUUUAAUAGUUUCCAUUCUAAGGGAUGUGAGGUGGUAUCUCAUUGUGGCUUUCACUUAGCAUUUUCCUAAUGCUUUUUCUUUUUUUUUUUAAUUCUUCUUUAGGGCCACACUUGCAGCAUAUGGAAGUUCCCAGGCUAGGGAUCAAAUUGGAGCUGCAGCUGCCAGCCACAGCCACAGCCACAGCCACAGCCACAGCAGAUCCGAGCUGUCUGUGCCUACACCACAGCUCACAGCAAUGCCGGAUCCUUAACCCACCUAGUGAGGCCAGGGAUCGAACCUCCAUCCUCAUGGAUACUAGUCCGGUUUGUUACCACUGAGCCACGUGGGAACUCCUUCAGGUCUUUUUCUAGGAAAAGCCCCAUGGUUGUCACACAUGUACAUUUUUUUUCUUUCACCAUGUUAUAUUUUAUUUUAUUUUGUUAAUGAUACCCAUGUACAUUUUAAAAAACCAUUCAACAUGCAUUAAACCAUGCUGCCAUUUUUAUUCAGUUUCUACACUGCUUUUUAAAUUUCACUGAUGAAGUUAUUGAUUUUUGUGCCCCUAACCACAUAUUCCCCAUAAGCCCGUGGUUUUUAUUUCUGUGGUGAUUUUCAGGAAUGCAUGUGCUGCAAUGUAACAGAACCGAUCACAUUUUGGUAACAGAUACCUGCACAGCCAAGAUAAUAUGCGGAUUUCCUGGGAUCCUGAUAUCAUUCGAAACAAGAAAAAAGUGAAAUUCCCAUUGUGGCUCAGUGGGUUAAGAGCCCAACUAGUAUCCAUGAGGAUGUGGGUUUGAUCCCUGGCCUCACUCAGUGGGUUAAGGUUCUGGCAUUGCCAUGAGCUGUGGUGUAGGUUACAGAUAUGGCCCAGAUCCUGAGUUGCCGUGGCUGUGCUAUAGGCUCCAGCUGCAGUUCUGAUUUGAGCCCUAGCCUGGGAACAUCCAUAUACUGCAGGUGAGGCCC
rnacentral:lncRNA from 1 species